rnacentral:rRNA from 1 species
AUACGGAGGAUGCAAGCGUUACUCGGAAUCACUGGGCGUAAAGCGCGCGCAGGCGGCUUGAUAAGUUGGAUGUGAAAGCCUACGGCUCAACCGUAGAACUGCAUCCAAAACUGUCAGGCUAGAGUGUGGGAGAGGAAGAUGGAAUUAGUUGUGUAGGGGUAAAAUCCGUAGAGAUAACUAGGAAUACCAAAAGCGAAGGCAAUCUUCUGGAACACUACUGACGCUGAGGCGCGAAGGCGUGGGGAGCAAACAGGAUUAGAAACCCCAGUAGUCC